CCAGACUCCUACGGGAGGCAGCAGUGGGGAAUAUUGGGCAAUGGGCGCAAGCCUGACCCAGCAACGCCGCGUGAAGGAAGAAGGCUUUCGGGUUGUAAACUUCUUUUGUCAGGGACGAAGCAAGUGACGGUACCUGACGAAUAAGCCACGGCUAACUACGUGCCAGCAGCCGCGGUAAUACGUAGGUGGCAAGCGUUAUCCGGAUUUAUUGGGUGUAAAGGGCGUGUAGGCGGGAAUGCAAGUCAGCGGUAAAAUGUCGGGGCUCAACCCCGUCGUGCCGUUGAAACUGGCGUUCUUGAGUGAGCGAGAAGUAUGCGGAAUGCGUGGUGUAGCGGUGAAAUGCAUAGAUAUCACGCAGAACUCCGAUUGCGAAGGCAGCAUACCGGCGCUCAACUGACGCUCAUGCACGAAAGCGUGGGUAUCGAACAGGAUUAGAUACCCGCGUAUC
rnacentral:rRNA from 1 species